GACGAACGCUGGCGGCGUGCCUAAUACAUGCAAGUAGAACGCUGAAGGAGGAGCUUGCUCUUCUGGAUGAGUUGCGAACGGGUGAGUAACGCGUAGGUAACCUGCCUGGUAGCGGGGGAUAACUAUUGGAAACGAUAGCUAAUACCGCAUAACAGUAGAUGUUGCAUGACAUUUGCUUAAAAGGUGCAAUUGCACCACUACCAGAUGGACCUGCGUUGUAUUAGCUAGUUGGUGGGGUAACGGCUCACCAAGGCGACGAUACAUAGCCGACCUGAGAGGGUGAUCGGCCACACUGGGACGGAGACACGGCCCAGACUCCUACGGGAGGCAGCAGGAGGGAAUCUUCGGCAAUGGACGGAAGUCUGACCGAGCAACGCCGCGUGAGUGAAGAAGGGUUUCGGAUCGUAAAGGUCUGUUGUAAGGGAAGAACGAGUGUGAGAGUGGAAAGUUCACGCUGUGACGGUAUCUGACCAGAAAGGGACGGCUAACUACGUG
rnacentral:rRNA from 1 species